GUUGUUCUCUCAACCAGGCUGGAGUGCAGUGGUGUGAUAUGGGCUCACUGCAACAUUUAUCUCCUGGGUUCAAGCAGUUCUCCUGCCUCAGCCUCCUGAGUACCUGGGAUUACAGAUGAAGAAGAUGAGACUCAGAGCAAUACAUAAGUUGCCCAAGGUCAGAGAGCAAUGACCAUAUCAGAGCACAGUGUACUCCUCUUGCCGUAUUCAGAGGAUUUGCCUAUGGGCAGCAACAUUAUUCUCUCGUUCUCUGGAUAUUAGGAACAAUAUCACAGGACCGGCGGACAGCCCCAGUCAUAUCUGAAAAUAUCACAGCACGGUGUACUCCUCUUGCCGUAUUCAGAGGAUUUGCCUAUGGGCAGAAACAUUCCCCUCUCCUUCUCUGGAUAUUAGAAACAUUAUCACAGGACCGGCAAACAGCCGCAGUCAUAUCGUGAGUAAUGUCAUCU